rnacentral:tRNA from 1 species
GGAUUGUGGCUCAACGGUAGAGCACUUGCCUAGCAUGUGCGGGGCCCUGGGUUCAAUCCUCAGCACCA